GCUGGCGGCGUGCCUUACACAUGCAAGUCGAGCGAGGAGGCCCGCAAGGGUCAUUCGAGCGGCGAACGGGUGAGUAACGCGUGGAUAACCUACCCAGAGGUGGGGGAUAACCCGGGGAAACUCGGGCUAAUACCGCAUGAUACCGAGAGGUCAAAGGGGGCUCGCAAGGGCUCUCGCCAUAGGAGGGGUCCGCGUCCGAUUAGCUAGUUGGUAGGGUAAUGGCCUACCAAGGCGACGAUCGGUAGCCGGCCUGAGAGGGUGAUCGGCCACACUGGAACUGAGACACGGUCCAGACUCCUACGGGAGGCAGCAGUGGGGAAUUUUGCGCAAUGGGCUAACGCCUGACGCAGCAACGCCGCGUGGAGGAUGAAGGUCUUUGGAUUGUAAACUCCUGUCAGCAGGGAAAAAGCAAAUCGGCCUAACACGCCGGUGAGUUGAUUGUACCUGCAGAGGAAGCCCCGGCUAACUCUGUGCCAGCAGCCGCGGUAAUACAGAGGGGGCAAGCGUUAUUCGGAAUUAUUGGGCGUAAAGGGCGCGUAGGCGGCUUGGCAAGUGGAUGGUGAAAUCCCUCGGCUUAACCGAGGAACUGCCGUCCAAACUGCUUUGCUUGAGACC
rnacentral:rRNA from 1 species